AUUAGUCAGAAUAGUGAACAGGGGAUGAGAGGCUGGUCGCCACCAGGGUUGACAAGCCACGUUUUGACCUAAUAGACUAAGGAAGAGCUUAUAAGAAUUUACUGUAUUUGAAAGCUGUGGUCUGUAUACCUGAGGUUUCAGACAUUGAGAAUACAAAGAAAUCAUCAAGAGCUUUGAGGUCAGUCAGCCUCAUGUUUUCAGAUUAAAAGGAAAUGAAGGACUGAGGAAGCACAAGGCCACUGGCAUGGUCACAAAGGGGGACUGUGAUAGAAGUCUUGGUAACUUGUUCCCAUGUAAGCCACCGCCACACAGCUGCCAGAACACUGGGGGCUUCAGAGCCAUCCUCCUUCUGUACUGACUCCAGCCCUGUGUGGUUAGUUUUGCUUUGCCCUGGAUGGGACUGCUUAGUCGGCAAAGACCUGGAUGCCUGAAAAAGGAAGGGAAGUUCUGAGUCUGGCAAUAAAAGGACCAGAGGAAGAUGAUGGUGAAGUCCAGAAGUAACACAAAAAGACUUCUGGAAAAAAAAGGGCUGGAAGAGUGGUCGCUGAAAGUCAUAGCACUGUACACCAAACAAACAUACGACAAAAACCAUAAAACAAAAACCAUCAUCACCAUCACCAUCAACAACAACAAAUACAGACAGUGGAGCUACAUUAUUCUCAUUUUUAAAAGAAGACAAAUACUGCAAAGCACAGCAUAGAAACUCAUUUAGAUGCUGCUCUAACUCUGGGAGUUUGGCUGAUAUGUGAGACCUGGCUCUCUCGGGAUGACAUGGAAGGUGACCCUCUCAGGCUCUGCCUACUACCCACCAGUCUUCUGCCCCCAUCUCUAGCCUCCUUCCUGCCCUCUCUUGUGAGCCAAGCGUGCACAGAUCGCAGAGAUGUGGCAGACCGAAUGGCCCAUCACUCAGAAGUCAUGUGCACAGCCGUGGAGACCCAGUGUGGAGAAUCACUUCUGCAGGGACACAGAAAUGCGCUGCCCAGGGCGAGACAGAGGCUGGACAGGAGACUUGCCUCAGAGACAGCUGCACCAAAUCUGCUGCCACCGCUGUACACACUGGGCAUUGAGCUCGGUUUGAGAGAGGCCCUACAGCUAAAACUGGAGUAGCCCUGGCCCAGGAGCACAGAGACUGCCUUUCUCCCUACAACCCCUGUUUUCAUCGAGCCACAUAGUGAAAAGCCUUCAGUGCUAUUCCACACUGCUUACCUUUGAUACUGUUUGAUGUUUCUUUCAGCAGCUAGAUGCACUUUUAACUAAUAACAGCUAAAACACUUGAUUUCUUUUCUAUCUCUUCAGAAUUAUAGGUAACACUGCAAAGGUUAUUGCUCAUGGAUCUUUUUUUUUUUUUAACUAGGGUUACCCGAUAAAUUACUUUACUGAAGGAAAUGGUCCAAGGCUUUAGUGGAUGCUUUCUGCAUGACUUUUCCCUGUUCAUUGGUUCUCCACAUCAGUCCUCAUUGAUAUUCUCAAUAACCUAAAGCCUGGGUCUAUUUUAGAGUCCUUUACAUUUUGUUUUCUGUUUUGUUUUUCUUAAAGGGGGGAGUAUUCUAAUUGG
rnacentral:lncRNA from 1 species